UACAGAGGGGGCAAGCGUUGUUCGGAAUUACUGGGCGUAAAGGGCGCGUAGGCGGCCUUCUAAGUCGAACGUGAAAUCCCCGGGCUCAACCCGGGAACUGCGUCCGAUACUGGAAGGCUUGAAUCCGGGAGAGGGAUGCGGAAUUCCAGGUGUAGCGGUGAAAUGCGUAGAUAUCUGGAGGAACACCGGUGGCGAAGGCGGCAUCCUGGACCGGCACUGACACUGAGGAGCGAAAGCCAGGGGAGCAAACGGG
rnacentral:rRNA from 1 species